UCUACUAGUUGUCGGGUCUUAAUUGACUUGGUAACGCAGCUAACGCGUGAAGUAGACCGCCUGGGGAGUACGGUCGCAAGAUUAAAACUCAAAGGAAUUGACGGGGACCCGCACAAGCGGUGGAUGAUGUGGAUUAAUUCGAUGCAACGCGAAAAACCUUACCUACCCUUGACAUGUACAGAAUCCCGAAGAGAUUUGGGAGUGUUCGAAAGAAAACUGUAACACAGGUGCUGCAUGGCUGUCGUCAGCUCGUGUCGUGAGAUGUUGGGUUAAGUCCCGCAACGAGCGCAACCCUUGUCAUUAGUUGCUACGAAAGGGCACUCUAAUGAGACUGCCGGUGACAAACCGGAGGAAGGUGGGGAUGACGUCAAGUCCUCAUGGCCCUUAUGGGUAGGGCUUCACACGUCAUACAAUGGUACAUACAGAGGGCCGCCAACCCGCGAGGGGGAGCUAAUCCCAGAAAGUGUAUCGUAGUCCGGAUUGUAGUCUGCAACUCGACUACAUGAAGUUGGAAUCGCUAGUAAUCGCGGAUCAGCAUGUCGCGGUGAAUACGUUCCCGGGUCUUGCACUCACCGCCCGUCA
rnacentral:rRNA from 1 species